rnacentral:pre_miRNA from 1 species
CUGCGCCUUCCAACCUUGGAAGAGUUGGCCAGGACCCCAAGGCCCCAGCACUUCAUCCUUGCCGUCCUCUCCUAGUCUGGGAGGAUAGGGGAGAAGACAGGAAGAAUGAAGUGCUGGGAGCUUCGGGGCUUCCCAGCCAACUCUUCCAAGCCCGGAGACCAG